rnacentral:rRNA from 1 species
CCAAGGAAGGCAGCAGGCGCGCAAAUUACCCAAUCCCGACACGGGGAGGUAGUGACAAUAAAUACUGAUACAGGGCUCUUUUGGGUCUUGUAAUUGGAAUGAGUACAAUUUAAAUCCCUUAACGAGGAACAAUUGGAGGGCAAGUCUGGUGCCAGCAGCCGCGGUAAUUCCAGCUCCAAUAGCGUAUAUUAAAGUUGUUGCAGUUAAAAAGCUCGUAGUUGAACCUUGGGCCUGGCUGGCCGGUCCGCCUCACCGCGUGCACUGGUCCGGCCGGGCCUUUCCUCCUGGGGAGCCGCAUGCCCUUCACUGGGUGUGUCGGGGAACCAGGACUUUUACUUUGAAAAAAUUAGAGUGUUCAAAGCAGGCCUAUGCUCGAAUACAUUAGCAUGGAAUAAUAGAAUAGGACGUGUGGUUCUAUUUUGUUGGUUUCUAGGACCGCCGUAAUGAUUAAUAGGGAUAGUCGGGGGCAUCAGUAUUCAAUUGUCAGAGGUGAAAUUCUUGGAUUUAUUGAAGACUAACUACUGCGAAAGCAUUUGCCAAGGAUGUUUUCAUUAAUCAGUGAACGAAAGUUAGGGGGUCGAAGACGAUCAGAUACCGUCGUAGUCUUAACCAUAAACUAUGCCGACUAGGGAUCGGGCGAUGUUAUCUUUUUGACUCGCUCGGCACCUUACGAGAAAUCAAAGUUUUUGGGUUCUGGGGGGAGUAUGGUCGCAAGGCUGAAACUUANAGAAAUUGACGGAAGGGCACCACCAGGAGUGGAGCCUGCGGCUUAAUUUGACUCAACACGGGGAAACUCACCAGGUCCAGACCCAAUAAGGAUUGACAGAUUGAGAGCUCUUUCUUGAUUUUGUGGGUGGUGGUGCAUGGCCGUUCUUAAUUGGUGGAGUGAUUUGUCUGCUUAAUUGC